rnacentral:lncRNA from 1 species
UUUUUCUUUCUUUCUUUCCAUUUUUUUUUUCUCUAUAUGUUACUUUCUUUCUUUCUUUCUUUCUUUCUUUCUUUCUUUCUUUCUUUCUCUCUCUCUCUCUCUCUCUCUCUCUUUCUCUCUUUCUUCUCUUUCUCUUUCUUCUCUUUCUCUUUUUUCUUUCUCUCUCUCUUUUUUCUUUCUCUCUUUCUCUCUCUCUCUCUCUUUCUUUCCUUUCUCUCUCCCUCUCUCUCUUUCUCUCUCUUUCUCUCUUUCCUUCUUCCUCUCACUUACUGAUUUCUCUUUCAUUCUAUUUCUCUUUCCUUUUUUUUUCGUUUCUUCAUCUCUCACUUUGUCCUCUCUUGUUUCUCUCUCUUCCUCCCUUUCUGUUUUCCUGUUUAUCACCCUUACUCCCUCUUUUCCUCUUUUCCUCUUUUCCUCUUUCCCUCUUUCUUUUUCUUUCCUCCCUCUUUCCCUCUUUACUUUUCUCUGCCUCAGUCUCUCCAUUCUCACCAGCUUCAUCUCGUGGUCAUCGGGAGCCGCUUUGCCGUUCUCCCCAGGGUUUUUCCAGCUCUGUCCCCCUCCCGUGGGACCCCGGGGAUUGCCCGCCCAGCCGCACCGGGGGGGUCUCCCCUCUUCCCCGGGAAGAGAGCAGCGAGGAUCCCCCGGGCUCCGCGGUUCCUCUGCCCUGCAGGAUUGUGGCCCAGUUCCUGCCCAGAGCCCGGCACCCUGUCCCGGGCUGCCGGUCCCCCCGGGGCAUAUGUGCCUUCCUUGGCCCUACCAGCUUCUGCCAUCAGGCCACACGCAGUGGAAACAGCCCUGGAGAAGUCCCAGGUGCCUCCCGCUUCCCCAAAAAAUUGACCUCCAAAGCUGUGCUCGGGUCCCCAGCCCUCACCUCCGCCGCCCGCGCCCCAGCCCACCCGCGGCUCUCCCUCCCACCCGCGCUGCCCCCCACGCCGCCUUUGCGGGGCUUUCCCGUGCGGGUGCAGCCUCCCCGCGGGCUCCGUCCUUCCCAUUGACCGGCCCCUGGCUCCUUGUACCGGCGGGGGGGAGCAGGAGGGGGCGGGAGGCAGCGUCCCCGGGCCGGGAGAGCGCCCGUGGGGGGCCACUGGGGGCUGCGGGCAGCACCAGCCCCCCGGGCGGCUCCUCUCCCACCAGAUCGCGUUGUGCUAUUAAAUAAGGCGCACCCCGGUUCCCCAAGCCCUUGGCAGCAACAGGUGACACUGCGAGCCGGGACGGGCGAAAAAAAAACCAUUCCCGCAGGGUCUGAUCGCACGUUUCCAACCCUUCCUCAUCAUCCACAUCCUAAUGCUCUCCUCGGAUGGACGGUCCCCUGGGGCAGAGCCGGGGCUGCUCCCUCCCGCUGCCCGCGAUCGGGUUCUCCCGGCCCGGCCCGGCCCGGCUCGGCUCGGCUCUGCCGGGCAGGCGGCCCCGGGCAGCCCGGAGCGCGGCCCCGAUGGCCUUUCCCAGGCACGACCCUGCGGGCACCUCGCUGCCCAGCUCCGUGUGGGUACAAGGAGUGGUGAAUAAAGAAAUGUUCCUCUCCGGGUGCCA